GACGAACGCUGGCGGCGUGCUUAACACAUGCAAGUCGAGCGGUAAGGCCCUUUCAGGGGUACACGAGCGGCGAACGGGUGAGUAACACGUGGGUGACCUGCCCUUAGCUCUGGGAUAAGCCUGGGAAACUGGGUCUAAUACCGGAUAUGACUCCAUGACGCAUGUUGUGGGGUGGAAAGCCUUGUGCGGCUAGGGAUGGGCCUGCGGCCUAUCAGCUUGUUGGUGGGGUGANGGCCUACCAAGGCGACGACGGGUAGCCGGCCUGAGAGGGCGACCGGCCACACUGGGACUGAGACACGGCCCAGACUCCUACGGGAGGCAGCAGUGGGGAAUCUUGCGCAAUGGGCGAAAGCCUGACGCAGCGACGCCGCGUGGGGAUGACGGCCUGGUGU
rnacentral:rRNA from 1 species